rnacentral:rRNA from 1 species
CGGAGGGGCUAGCGUUGUUCGGAAUUACUGGGGCGUAAAAGCGCACGUAGGCGGCUUUGUAAGUUAGAGGUGAAAGCCCGGGGCUCAACUCCGGAAUUGCCUUUAAGACUGCAUCGCUAGAAUUGUGGAGAGGUGAGUGGAAUUCCGAGUGUAGAGGUGAAAUUCGUAGAUAUUCGGAAGAACACCAGUGGCGAAGGCGACUCACUGGACACAUAUUGACGCUGAGGUGCGAAGGCGUGGGGGAGCAAACAGGAUU